rnacentral:rRNA from 1 species
AUUGAACGCUGGCGGCAGGCCUAACACAUGCAAGUCGAGCGAGCGGCGGACGGGUGAGUAAUGUCUGGGAAACUGCCUGAUGGAGGGGGAUAACUACUGGAAACGGUAGCUAAUACCGCAUACCAUCAGAUGUGCCCAGAGGGGAUUAGCUGGUAGGUGGGGUAACGGCUCACCUAGGCGACGAUCCCUAGCUGGUCUGAGAGGAUGACCAGCCAUACGGGAACUGAGACACGGCCCCGACUCCGACGGGAGGCAGCAGGGGGAAAUAUUGCACAAGGGGCGAAAGCCUGAUGCAGCCAGGCCGCGUGUGGGAAGAAGGCCUUCGGGUUGUAAAGCACUUUCAGCGGGGAGGCGUUACCGGAAGAAGAAGCACCGGCUAACUCCGUGCCAGCCGCCGCGGUAAUAC